GCUGGCACGCUGCGAGUAAUAACUGUGCUUUAUAUAAUUUGAACUAUUUAGUUCUAUUUUCUCUUAAUGGCCGCAGCAAUCCCUACCUUGCAGGUACCCUAGUCAUAGGUAUUUGGGCAGGCGUUUAUUUAACGACGCCCUCUCUUCUUCCGCCCGCACUAAACGCCUGCUACGCAGGCUAGCCCGGAACUAAAUAUACUCAAACUUAUCUAGCUGGUAGUCAACAUGUGAAAGACAAAAUGGCAGACUUCGAGUUAAGAUCUUGGGAGGUAGUCUGCUACAGUCUUAUCCUUAUAAUAGGCGUGCUUGGAAACUCUACAGUAAUUCUAGUGAUCAGAAAAAGUGGCAGUUCACCGAAGCAUCGAUUUCGAGACGUUCCAUUCAAUGUCUACCUAAUGGCAUUAGCCAUAGUCGAUUUGGCUUUGUCUGUAGUAUGCCUACCUGUUUACAUUAUGAGUACGAACGCUUUUCCUCACCCUACUGGAAUAGGAGGCGAUAUAUUUUGUAAACUAAUCACUGGAAAUCUGCCUCAAUAUUGGUUGGCAGGAGUAUCUAUUUAUAUACUGGUUGUUAUUAGCUUCGAGAGGUAUGCAGCAAUUUCGAAGCCUUUUGAAACGCGUUUGGGCAUAACGACGAAGAAUUAUGUAUAUAUUGGUUUAGCAUGGUUCUUUGGAUUUGCAAGGGAGCUUCCAGUUUUAGUUGGAAUUCACUACACAGCUUCAAAUGCAACGGUCGGAACCAGUUGCCACUACUGGCCUGAGCAGCUGCCAAACAUAUUCAUAUACUCGUGUCUUUUCAUCAGCGAAUACCUACUUCCAGCCGUGAUUUUUGUUAUAAACUUUUAUCGCAUUAAGAAAUGUUUAAAUCGGCUAGAUUCAACGUUAAAAACUGCUCUCGGCGACGAAAGACAACGGGUUAAAAUUAUGAAAAGUAAAGAAAGGACUAUAAGAAUUGUAUUUAUAUUGUUAGUGACGUUUUUAAUCUGCUGGAUUCCGAAUAAUAUUAUGUAUUAGUCUAGGACCUGUAUAGGAGUUUGUAUGCGUUUCAUUUACCACAGGUAAUCUCAACUGUUUUAGGGUAAAAUGACCAUGGCGGUCAACAUGGCAUAUGUGCCAAAACCUGAAUCCGGGGCGAAAGUCCUGAAAAUGACCCCGCCCUGAAACGGCAGUGCCGACAUAGCUCUAACUUCCGAAAAGCAAAAGCGACAGCCUUUCUGAAGUGCUUAUAGUGUUUAGAAGGGUUGCUUUUAGGGGUGGUCAUUGGAAGGAAAAAUUUGUCUAAGUAUAAUGUUUUACCAGAAAAUGACUAUGCACCACCCCAGGUAAAUUGCUGAUUAUGCACAAAAUAACUAAUAUGCCUGGCAGAAAUUUAAUGGUCUUAUUUCCUAAAAAAAAUAAACAUGGGAUGAAAAACUAUGCUUAAUAUAAUAUAAUUAUUGUAGUUUUCAUAAGGACUGUCCUUCUUUUCUGUAAAUAUAAUACAUUUUAAUUCACUCACCCCCCACGAAAACACGAUUUCAGCCAUAUUUUGUCGUCUUGCUUGCUUUUUAUCGCCGAAUCUCGCACACAUCAUCCAAUUGUUGUACUUUCACAUAAUGAUAGAUGGCUAAAGAAGAUUUCAACAAAAUUUCAUGACGUUUUGAAACA